AUUGAACGCUGGCGGCAGGCCUAACACAUGCAAGUCGAGCGGAGCGGCGGACGGGUGAGUCAUGUCUGGGAAACUGCCUGCUGGAGGGGGAUAACUACUGGAAACGGUAGCUAAUACCGCAUACUAUCAGAUGAGCCUCGGUGGGAUUCGCUAGUUGGUGGGGUAAAGGCCUACCAAGGCGACGAUCCGUAACUGGUCUGAGAGGAUGAUCAGUCACACUGGAACUGGGACACGGUCCAGACUCCUACGGGAGGAAGCAGUGGGGAAUAUUGGACAAUGGGCGAAAGCCUGAUCCAGCCAUGCCGCGUGUGUGAAGAAGGUCUUCGGAUUGUAAAGCACUUUAAGUUGAGAGGCGUUACCAACAGAAUAAGCACCGGCUAACUACGUGCCAGCAGCCGCGGUAAUUC
rnacentral:rRNA from 1 species